GAUGAAGAACGUAGCGAAAUGCGAUAAGUAGUGUGAAUUGCAGAAUUCAGUGAAUCAUCGAAUCUUUGAACGCACAUUGCGCCCCUUGGUAUUCCAUGGGGCAUGCCUGUUCGAGCGUCAUUUGUACCUUCAAGCUUUGCUUGGUGUUGGGUGUUUGUCUCGCCUCUGCGUGUAGACUCGCCUCAAAACAAUUGGCAGCCGGCGUAUUGAUUUCGGAGCGCAGUACAUCUCGCGCUUUGCACUCAUAACGACGACGUCCAAAAGUACAUUUUUACACUCUUGACCUCGGAUCAGGUAGGGAUACCCGCUGAACUUAAGCAUAUCAAUAAGCGAGGA
rnacentral:misc_RNA from 1 species